rnacentral:rRNA from 1 species
GCUUGUCUCAAAGAUUAAGCCAUGCAUGUCUAAGUAUAAACAAAUUUAUAGUGAAACUGCGAAUGGCUCAUUAUAUCAGUUAUAGUUUAUUUGGCGAUAAAAACUACUUGGAUAACCGUAGUAAUUCUAGAGCUAAUACAUGCUGUAAGCCCGACUUUUCGGAAGGGCCGUAUUUAUUAGAUAACAGACCAAUGCCCCCCCGGGCUUUGUGGUGACUCAUAGUAACUAAUCGGAUCGCAUGGGCCUGUCCCGCGACAAACCAUUCAAGUUUCUGCCCCAUCAGCUUUCGAUGGUAGUGUAUUGGACUACCAUGGCUUUUACGGGUAACGGAGGAUUAGGGUUCGAUUCCGGAGAGGGAGCCUGAGAAACGGCUACCACAUCUAAGGAAGGCAGCAGG